CUUGUUUUUUGUUUUUUUUUUUUUCAUUAGUUGGGUUUUUGUUGAUGUUGUUGUUGUUGUUUUUAACUCUCACUUAAGAAGACAAUGAGCAUCCGCAUGUCUUAGACGCAGCAUUUUCAGUCCCUGUGAAUGAGGGACUUGCUGUCUCUAAGGCUGCUUGUCAGUUCUGCGGUUCAUAGCUGUCGAGCUCCCGAGUCCAGAUGCUUGAUUUUAUUUUUGUAUAGAAAUCUAAUUGAUGAUGAGUUUUAUUUGGAGUUCCCAAUAGAAAUAGAAAGUGUGACACGUUCAGCCCCUGGGGAAGGUUCUGGGGAGUUUUGAUGCCAGAGCCCUUCAACGUUCUCUGGCCUGUGUUGACUGUCUUUCAGACCAUUUAAAAACGUUACGGAAUAUGACGGGCAGGAUGCCUGUGGCUCCAACAGCUGGAACAUGGUGGAUGUAGACCUGCCUCCGAACAAGGAGGGCGAGCCUGGCAUUUUACUGCAUGGGCUGAAGCCCUGGACCCAGUAUGCUGUCUAUGUCAAGGCUGUGACCCUCACCAUGGUGGAAAACGACCAUAUCCGUGGGGCCAAAAGUGAAAUCUUGUACAUUCGCACCAAUGCUUCAGGUAUCCACGCACCGGAGGAACAACCUCCAACCCCUGUUCCCUGAAUUUUUAUAAGCUUGCUUUAUUUACAUAGGCACAGUAUGGCUGGAGGGCUAGCAAUGAGAUGCUUGUUGUUGCUGCUUAACACUGUAUUAACAUUCUCACUGCCAACACCUUAAGUUCUCCUGAGCCAUUUCCUAGACUUGGUACCAUCUUAAAUGUCAACAUCUCUGCUCUACGCAAUUGAAUCGGUGUCCUCCAGAGCAGUAGGAUGGUUUCUCUGAAUGCCCAGGAUGUAGCCACUUGUGGCUGGUCUCCUCUCUCUCAGUGCAGACUUCCAGGGACUGAGACGACAAUGACCGGUGCACCCCUUGCCUCUAGUGGCUUGCUGGCUUUCCACCUUUAUUCCGUAGCCACCAGCUUUCUCAACAGGCGAACGCAGGCUUAGAGUACUAUGAUAUCGGAUUAUUGACUAAUCCCUUCUCAUCUUCUUCAUGUGUUUACGUACUAGUUCCCCAGCUCCAGAACCUAGAAGUGGGGAAAAGCAAAGGUGUGAGUUUGUAUCCAAAGACGAGAGAGGUAGAAAGAUAUGCUUCACUGUAAAGAUAAUGACUGACCUCUUACAACAAAAAAUUCCAUCGACUUGAGUGGCUUACAACACAAUGAAACAUAUUCACCGUUCCAAGAGCAAAGCAACUGAAUACAUUUCUCAUCUUAAAGUUUGGGAGUAAUGACUCCCAGUGAAUCAUUGCAGCAGAUCUGAGAGG
rnacentral:lncRNA from 1 species